rnacentral:rRNA from 1 species
UACGGAGGAGGCAAGCGUUAUCCGGAAUUAUUGGGCGUAAAGCGUCCGCAGGUGGCACCUCAAGUCUGCUGUCAAAGACCGGGGCUUAACCCCAGAAAGGCAGUGGAAACUGAAGUGCUAGAGUGCAGUAGGGGUAGAGGGAAUUCCCGGUGUAGCGGUGAAAUGCGUAGAGAUCGGGAAGAACAUCGGUGGCGAAGGCGCUCUGCUAGGCCGCAACUGACACUGAGGGACGAAAGCUAGGGGAGCGAAUGGG